UCAACUCAGGUAAUUAACUGCAGCGGGCCUCUUCCAUCUUCCAUAACCGAUGAGAAUCCCAUCGGUCCUCUCUCCUCAUUACUCUUCCAGCCUUCCAUAUGCAUCCCCGCAGAAUGAGUGAUGCCGUCAGCCACCACCAGACGAGCAAUGCAACCCAGCGCUCCUCACACCGCCGCCUCCAGACGACAAGGGUUGAACUUCCCCAUCGAUGGUUGUUUCAGGCGCGUAGCGCGUCGCCCUCCACGGAUCCACGUGCUCCGGCCAGAUCCUCCGCCGAGAGUUGUAGCACACGCAUGGGACCUCGGCCAUCGCAGCGACUCUGCCUCCUCGAGACCAAGCUCCAUAGCCGCCCUACUACCCAGAUGAGACUUCCCAUGCCCCUUCAAACAGUGGAGCGGCGUCGCGUGCCUUUGAUCCAAAAUCAUGUCAUGAUGGUCAGGUUCACGUCUUCCAGAUGCUUUAAUCUAUAUCAACAUGGUCUUUGAUGAAAAUGGUGCCAGAUUGUGAUUGAAAAUAAAUAUAGGGACAACUCAACAUAUGAGCAUUUAAACUAUUGUCCUCAAGUGAUAUUUUAACUGCUAUGGAAUACUCAAUUGCAGCAACAUUUAAUUGCCGACUGUGUAAGGACUUGCAAUGGCACAAAAAUGUACUAGAAGGCUUCUGAUUUCCCAGCGUCCAGGUUCUGUCAUGGUCAAUCUAGCAGCUGUAGCCUUGGCUGCAAGUUUUAGUCCAUCUGCUUCCACCCAUGAUGUCUGUGUAACUGUGUUGUAAGUUUGCUUGCAUGGGGAAGGAGUUCUGGUCCAGAAAGUGCAUUACAAUCCAUAAACCAUACAUCUAAUUAU